rnacentral:rRNA from 1 species
UACGAAGGGGGGCUAGCGUUGCUCGGAAUUACUGGGCGUAAAGGGCGCGUAGGCGGGUCGUUAAGUUAGAGGUGAAAGCCCAGGGCUCAACCCUGGAAUUGCCUUUGAUACUGGCGGCCUUGAGUAUGGCAGAGGUGUGUGGAACUCCGAGUGUAGAGGUGAAAUUCGUAGAUAUUCGGAAGAACACCAGUGGCGAAGGCGACACACUGGGCCAUUACUGACGCUGAGGCGCGAAAAGCGUGGGGAGCAAACAGG